rnacentral:rRNA from 1 species
UACGAAGGGGGCUAGCGUUGCUCGGAAUUACUGGGCGUAAAGCGCACGUAGGCGGUCUUUUAAGUCGGGGGUGAAAUCCUGGAGCUCAACUCCAGAACUGCCUUCGAUACUGGAAGACUUGAGUCCGGGAGCGGUGAGUGGAACUGCGAGUGUAGAGGUGAAAUUCGUAGAUAUUCGCAAGAACACCAGUGGCGAAGGCGGCUCACUGGCCCGGUACUGACGCUGAGGUGCGAAAGCGUGGGGAGCAAACAGG